UACGUAGGGAGCGAGCGUUGUCCGGAUUCAUUGGGCGUAAAGAGCUCGUAGGCGGCUUGACAAGUCGGGUGUGAAAACUCCGGGCUCAACCCGGAGACGCCACCCGAUACUGUCGUGACUGGAGUCCGGUAGGGGAGUGGGGAAUUCCUGGUGUAGCGGUGAAAUGCGCAGAUAUCAGGAGGAACACCGGUGGCGAAGGCGCCACUCUGGGCCGGUACUGACGCUGAGGAGCGAAAGCGUGGGUAGCAAACAGG
rnacentral:rRNA from 1 species